rnacentral:rRNA from 1 species
GAUGAACGCUGGCGGCGUGCUUAACACAUGCAAGUCGAACGGAAAGGCGCUGCUCUUGUGGGGUGCUUGAUUGGCGAACGGGUGAGUAUCACGUGAGUAUCAUCCCCUUGACUUUGUGAUAACUUCAGGAAACAGGGGCUCAUAUCGGAUAGGAUCUCCUGCUGCAUGGUGUUGGUUGGAAAGAGUCGGCGGUGGGGGAUGGACUCGCGGCUUAUGAGCUUGUUUGUGGAGUAGGUGCGUACAAAGGCUUUGACGGCUAGCCGGCCUGAGAGGGUGACCGGCCACAAUGGGACUGAGAUACGGCCCAGACUCCUACGGGAGGCAGCAGUGGGGAAUAUUGCACAAUGGGCGGAAGCCUGAUGCAGCAACGCCGCGUGCGGGAUGACGGCCUUCGGGUUGUAAACCGCUGUCGCCUGUGACGAAGCGUGAGUGACGGUAAUGGGUAAAAAAGCACCGGCUAACUACGUG